AGUGAACGCUGGCGGUAGGCCUAACACAUGCAAGUCGAACGGCAGCACAGUAAGAGCUUGCUCUUACGGGUGGCGAGUGGCGGACGGGUGAGGAAUACAUCGGAAUCUACUUUUUCGUGGGGGAUAACGUAGGGAAACUUACGCUAAUACCGCAUACGACCUACGGGUGAAAGCAGGGGAUCUUCGGACCUUGCGCGAUUGAAUGAGCCGAUGUCGGAUUAGCUAGUUGGCGGGGUAAAGGCCCACCAAGGCGACGAUCCGUAGCUGGUCUGAGAGGAUGAUUAGCCACACUGGAACUGAGACACGGUCCAGACUCCUACGGGAGGCAGCAGUGGGGAAUAUUGGACAAUGGGCGCAAGCCUGAUCCAGCCAUACCGCGUGGGUGAAGAAGGCCUUCGGGUUGUAAAGCCCUUUUGUCGGGAAAGAAAAGCAGCAGGUUAAUACCCCGCUGUUCUGACGGUACCCAAAGAAUAAGCACCGGCUAACUUCGUG
rnacentral:rRNA from 1 species